rnacentral:rRNA from 1 species
GCAUAUCAAUAAGCGGAGGAAAAGAAACCAACAGGGAUUGCCUCAGUAACGGCGAGUGAAGCGGCAAAAGCUCAAAUUUGAAAUCUGGCCUCUCCGGGGUCCGAGUUGUAAUUUGGAGAGGAUGCUCUGGGAGUGGUCGCGGUCCAAGUCCCCUGGAACGGGGCGUCGCAGAGGGUGAGAAUCCCGUCUUCGGCCGGCCGACUUCGCCCGUGUAGAGCUCCUUCGACGAGUCGAGUUGUUUGGGAAUGCAGCUCUAAAUGGGUGGUAAAUUUCAUCUAAAGCUAAAUACUGGUCGGAGACCGAUAGCGCACAAGUAGAGUGAUCGAAAGAUGAAAAGCACUUUGAAAAGAGAGUUAAAAAGCAUGUGAAAUUGUUGAAAGGGAAGCACAUGCGACCAGAGUCGGCCGUGGGUGUUCUUCGGGGGUUUUCCCCCCGUUUACUUGCCUGCGGUCGGGCCAGCAUCGGUUCUGGCGGCCGGUUAAAGGCUUUGGGAAUGUGUUGUCCUCCGGGACGUCUUAUAGCCCGAGGUGCAAUGCGGCCAGCCGGGACCGAGGAACGCGCUUCGGCACGGAUGCUGGCUUAAUGGUCGUCUGUGGCCCGUCUUGAAACACGGACCAAGGAGUCUAACAUCCACGCGAGUGUUAGGGUGUCAAACCCUUCCGCGCAGUGAAAGCGAACGGAGGUGAGAGCCCCUCGAGGGUGCAUCAUCGACCGAUCCUGAAGUCUUCGGAUGGAUUUGAGUAGGAGCGUGGCUGUUGGGACCCGAAAGAUGGUGAACUAUGCCUGAAUAGGGUGAAGCCAGAGGAAACUCUGGUGGAGGCUCGCAGCGGUUCUGACGUGCAAAUCGAUCGUCGAAUUUGGGUAUAGGGGCGAAAGACUAAUCGAACCAUCUGGUAGCUGGUUCCUGCCGAAGUU